rnacentral:rRNA from 1 species
CAACAAGCCCAACCCGUACCCUUGUAACCAAAGAUUCGGCCGGGAACUCAAAGGAGAAUCCCAGUGAUAACCGGAGGAAGGGGGGGAUGACGCCAAGUCAUCAUGGCCCUUACGAGUAGGGCUACACACGUGCUACAAUGGCAUAUACAAAGAGAAGCGACCUCGCGAGACCCACCGCACCUCACAAAGUAUGUGGUAGUCCGGAUCGGAGUCUGCAACUCGACUCCGUGAAGUCGGAAUCGCUAGAAAUCGUGGAUCAGAAUCCACGGUGAAUACGUUCCCGGGCCUUGUUCGGGGGCGCCCGUCCCACCAUGGAAUCCCCUGCCGGCUUGCUCUUCUUUUUUUGGGGGUUU